UUAUAGUUUGUUCUCGAAUAAUCGACGGCGAGCAGUAAAGAUACAUAUAAACGGAGCAUGAGUAUUUGAAAGCAAGCAUCCUCAAGCCUAACCGUAGAUUAAUAGACAAUAAUUUAUGACAGAAAGUGUAUUAUUUCUUUUUAAUUACGAUCUUUUUUCCUGGGUUUGUUUUUUAAAGGCCGACCUAAGACCAAUAUGUUUUACCUAAACUCCAUUCGCUGAAGUAAUUUUAUCUUUUAAAACAGUAUUGCGACGAAUUAAAUACUAGCGUGUUUGCAAAGAAUUAAUGCCCUGAAACUUUUUCUGUUGUUUCAUCAAUCGUAUAUGUUUAACUCUGUCUAAAAAACAGGGACAUACCAUCGAUAUGAUUUGAACGUGUUCAUUAGUUGUCGCAUUAAUAAUUUGUGUAUGUAUGUAUAUACUUUGUUUGACAUAUUACAUUUUCGUGCAUUAUUUUCUCUAACAGUCUUGCAGAGAUACCGAUCAAAAGAUAGUAUGGCGAUAGCUAUUUGUCCAUAUUAAGGAUUGUGGGUCCGAAAUUAAGAUCCAGUGGUGGAAGCGGUGGAUCGAAUUAUAGGCCAUGGACUUGGGGAAAGUAAAUUCACACGUCGUGACAACGAGGCGGACACAGAAAUGACAUCAACAAUAACGAACGCAAUAACUAACGACAUGUUAUUGUAUUGAACAUGUUU